GCAUGCUGGGCAAGGCUGGCAUCUAGCACAGGCGGUGGAUGCUUGCUCUUGCCAUUGCAAUGA
ensembl:miRNA